CGGGCGCUGAGGCCAGACUCACAGGAGGCCUCACAGUGACGAGACAGGGACAUCACUCUGGGACAUGUGCAGCAGGACAGGCUCAUCUUGAGGUCGGCCACAUGGACAGAAGCAGUGAUUCGGGAAGGGCUUGCAGCUGUCGGGGCCGUCAGUGGGCAGUGGUGGCCAUGUCCCCUGAGACUGAGCACAGGCCUGAAAUCCCAGCACCCUGGGAGGCAGAGGCAGGAAGACCUCAGGUUCAUGACCAGCCUGGACAACUUAGUGACUGACUGAGACCUUGUCUUAAAAUGAAGCAAAAAAGAAAAUAAAGCUGGGGUUGUAGCUCAAUGUGAAGGCCCUGGGUUCAAUCUCUCAUACUGAAAAGAAAAAUCCCCUCAAAAGGGGUCAAAGGUUUAACAGUAACACUACAAAACAUUUAGAAAAGAAAAUGUAAGAGUCAAUCUUUGGGACCUAAGAACUUGGUGAAGGGUUCUUAGAUGUGGCUUUGAAAGCACAAUUCCUAACAGAAAAAAUAAGAUGCGUUUCAUCAAAAGUAAGAACCUUUGUACUGUGCAGAAGUUCAGAGGGUAGAAGGCGAGCAUGGACUGGCAGAAAAUCCAUGCAGAGUCGUGUCCCACGCACAGGGCUCGAGUCUGGAGCACAGGAGGAGCUACGGACUCCACAGUGCCAAACAGUUCCCAUUGGGCAGCGGGAAGCGGCCAGCAAACAGCGCCACAGAGGAGGAGGGCAGGUGACGAACAAGUUCAUGGAGAAGGUGCAGCAGUGUUAGGAUCAGGGAAAUGCAGAUGAACAGCAGGGAGGUGGCAGGACAUCUCUGUCAGAGCAACUGAAAUAGCAGUACGGGCAACAAUGAGAAGGGGGCUGCACUGGAGGCCUUCUAGAGAACACUUGACCAAUGCUCCACAAAACAGCAGAACAGAGGUGAGGUCAUCGCAGCAAAGGCUGGUGGGCUGUGGAGAAGCUGAUCUCUCUCUCUGACGGGUGUGGAAAGUGGCAUGGCUACUCUGCAAAAGUUUGGCAGUUUCCUUAAAACAAGGAGUGUGCGUUUGACCCAGCAGUUCCUCUCCUGGGAAUUCUUCGAAGGGGAACAAAAACUUAUGUUCCACCCCAAACCUGAGCACAUGUUCAUGGUCACUUCCUGGGUGAUGUCCCCAAACUAGAAACCCAGACGCCCUUCCGUGGGUGAGUGAGUAACCAUGAUGGGAACACUAGUCAGCCAUAAAAAGGGACAGGCUGUGGAUGCGCAGGACAACUGGGAUGGAUCUCAGAGGCAUUGUGCAGAGUGAGAAAGCCAGUCUUGGACAGUUCCAUGGAACAUUCCUAAAGUUAAGGACAAAAUUAUGGAAAGAAAGUACUGGUUGCAAGGGUUAGGGAUGAGGAAGGGCGAAAAGGGAGAUGGCCUUCCUGUCCCACAGGAGGACACAGCAAGAGGCAGGGCUGGAACCAGCCAGGGUCUCUGACUUCAGGCUGCCCGGCUGCAGCCGCCAGGAGUGAGC
rnacentral:lncRNA from 1 species